UACAGAGGUCUCAACCGUUGUUCGGAUUCAUUGGGCGUAAAGGGUGCGUAGGCGGUCGCGUAAGUCAGGUGUGAAAUCUCAGGGCUCAACCCUGAAACUGCACUUGAUACUGCGUGGCUCGGGUACUGGAGAGGAGACUGGAAUUUACGGUGUAGCAGUGAAAUGCGUAGAUAUCUGGAGGAACACCGGUGGCGAAGGCGGCAUCCUGGACCGGUAUUGACGCUGAGGCGCGAAAGCCAGGGGAGCAAACGGG
rnacentral:rRNA from 1 species